AGCGAACGCUGGCGGCAGGCCUAACACAUGCAAGUCGAGCGGCCGUAGCAAUACGGCAGCGGCAGACGGGAGAGUAACACGUGGGAACGUACCCUUCAGUUCGGAACAACCCAGGGAAACUUGGGCUAAUACCGAAUACGUCCGUAAGGAGAAAGAUUUAUCGCUGAAGGAUCGGCCCGCGUCUGAUUAGCUAGUUGGUGAGGUAAUGGCUCACCAAGGCGACGAUCAGUAGCUGGUCUGAGAGGAUGAUCAGCCUCACUGGGACUGAGACACGGCCCAGACUCCUACGGGAGGCAGCAGUGGGGAAUAUUGGACAAUGGGCGCAAGCCUGAUCCAGCCAUGCCGCGUGGAUGAUGAAGGCCCUAGGGUUGUAAAGUCCUUUCGACGGGGUAGAUAAUGACGGUACCCGUAGAAGAAGCCCCGGCUAACUUCGUGCCAGCCGCCGCGGUAAUAC
rnacentral:rRNA from 1 species